ensembl:misc_RNA Metazoa_SRP Metazoan signal recognition particle RNA
GCUGGGUGCGGUGGCUCACGCCUGUAAUCCCAGCACUUUGGGAGGCUGAGACGGGUGGAUCACCUGAGGUCAGGAGUUCGAGACCAGCCUGGCCAACAUGGUGAAACCCCGUCUCUA